CGCCCAGCCUUGUGGGAGGGGCUGCAGAUGGCGGGCACAUGCCCGGUGGGGCACGGGCUCCAGGGUGGGUGCUGCGCGGUGCCCCGCGUCCUCUGGUUUUCUGACUUCUUUCUCCUCUCUUCUUCACUCCUGUCUCUCUUCUCCCCACCCCUGGGCUCUCCCACCUUCCCCUGGGGCUGACGAGGUCCCUGCCCGGCACGUCCGGCCAGCCGGCCCCCGAGAUGCGAUGUGCCAGAGCAGUGCCCGGGCCCGGCCGCCGCUGAUCCGCCACCUUGACCCCCGCCCGUCUCUCCCCCAGGGUGAACCAGCUGGUGAUGCCGCCUGCAUCCGUCAAAGUCUGAGGCCGUGCCUCUGGGACCGCGAAGAGCCCUCAUUGUCAGCCUACUUGGGAGGCGUCCCACGGCAUCCCGGCCCUGCUGGACAGUCUCGAAGCUUUCUGUGUGACCCAAGGCUGGGCACCCACCCUCUCUGGUCUGGGGCUGUGGAGUGGCCAUGGCUCCAAGAGGCUGUGUCCUCAACUAGCGUGGAAGGCUGUGUCUGGGGGAGCUGUGCAGCUGGACAGACUCCCAGCCCCAGGGCCAGGCUGCAGACCCCCUGGGGCCCGGGACAAGGACAGCCCCCACCGGGUAUGUGGGGAGAGCAUGGCCUGUCCCCACCUUACGGGGUCCCAGGCAAGCCUCUGCCCUCCCCAGAGCGUGGGGCCAGGCGGCUGGACUUCCCCACAUGGCAGCUCUGAAAACCCGGCGACUCCUGGACUACAGGGAGGAGGUGGUCCAGGCCUCAGGGCAGUACUUUAGGCUCUGGGAUGUGGGGACGACAACGACCUUGGGGAUGAUGGACUCAACUGGGCAGAGCCAGGGGCCCGUGACUGGGCGGCGCUUCCCAGCCUGGCUGGUUCCCCCAGAGGACGCUAGUCUCUGCUGCCUGGCCGGCUCUCUGCCUGCAGGUCCCCCCUCACCCCAGUGGGGCUAUCCGCUGGGGAGCUGGCAUCUCCAGGGGUGAAGGCCCUGGCGGCAGCUGCACCCCACCUGUGCCCCCAGACCUGAGCUCCAGGGCCAGCCUGCCUCCACGCCCCCCCACCCCAGCAGCCUGGAACAGACUCCUGCCCCCAGGCUGGGCCCUUUCCAGAGGCAGGGCCCCGGGGAC
rnacentral:lncRNA from 1 species